GACGAACGCUGGCGGCGUGCUUAACACAUGCAAGUCGAACGGAAAGGCCCUGCUUUUGUGGGGUGCUCGAGUGGCGAACGGGUGAGUAACACGUGAGUAACCUGCCCUUGACUUUGGGAUAACUUCAGGAAACUGGGGCUAAUACCGGAUAGGAGCUCCUGCUGCAUGGUGGGGGUUGGAAAGUUUCGGCGGUUGGGGAUGGACUCGCGGCUUAUCAGCUUGUUGGUGGGGUAGUGGCUUACCAAGGCUUCGACGGAUAGCCGGCCUGAGAGGGUGACCGGCCACAUUGGGACUGAGAUACGGCCCAGACUCCUACGGGAGGCAGCAGUGGGGAGUAUUGCACAAUAGGCGGAAGCCUGAUGCAGCAACGCCGCGUGCGGGAUAACGGCCUUCGGGUUGUAAACCGCUUUCGCCUGUGACGAAGCGUGAGUGACGGUAAUGGGUAAAGAAGCACCGGCUAACUACGUG
rnacentral:rRNA from 1 species